rnacentral:rRNA from 1 species
GACGAACGCUGGCGGCGUGCUUAACACAUGCAAGUCGAACGGAAAGGCCCUGCUUUUGUGGGGUGCUCGAGUGGCGAACGGGUGAGUAACACGUGAGUAACCUGCCCUUGACUUUGGGAUAACUUCAGGAAACUGGGGCUAAUACCGGAUAGGAGCUCCUGCUGCAUGGUGGGGGUUGGAAAGUUUCGGCGGUUGGGGAUGGACUCGCGGCUUAUCAGCUUGUUGGUGGGGUAGUGGCUUACCAAGGCUUUGACGGGUAGCCGGCCUGAGAGGGUGACCGGCCACAUUGGGACUGAGAUACGGCCCAGACUCCUACGGGAGGCAGCAGUGGGGAAUAUUGCACAAUGGGCGGAAGCCUGAUGCAGCAACGCCGCGUGCGGGAUGACGGCCUUCGGGUUGUAAACCGCUUUCGCCUGUGACGAAGCGUGAGUGACGGUAAUGGGUAAAGAAGCACCGGCUAACUACGUGCCAGCAGCCGCGGUGAUACGUAGGGUGCGAGCGUUGUCCGGAUUUAUUGGGCGUAAAGGGCUCGUAGGUGGUUGAUCGCGUCGGAAGUGUAAUCUUGGGGCUUAACCCUGAGCGUGCUUUCGAUACGGGUUGACUUGAGGAAGGUAGGGGAGAAUGGAAUUCCUGGUGGAGCGGUGGAAUGCGCAGAUAUCAGGAGGAACACCAGUGGCGAAGGCGGUUCUCUGGGCCUUUCCUGACGCUGAGGAGCGAAAGCGUGGGGAGCGAACAGGCUUAGAUACCCUGGUAGUCCACGCUGUAAACGGUGGGUACUAGGUGUGGGGUCCAUUCCACGGGUUCCGUGCCGUAGCAAACGCUUUAAGUACCCCGCCUGGGGAGUACGGCCGCAAGGCUAAAACUCAAAGGAAUUGACGGGGCCCCGCACAAGCGGCGGAGCAUGCGGAUUAAUUCGAUGCAACGCGUAGAACCUUACCUGGGUUUGACAUGGAUCGGGAGUGCUCAGAGAUGGGUGUGCCUCUUUUGGGGUCGGUUCACAGGUGGUGCAUGGCUGUCGUCAGCUCGUGUCGUGAGAUGUUGGGUUAAGUCCCGCAACGAGCGCAACCCUUGUUCACUGUUGCCAGCACGUUAUGGUGGGGACUCAGUGGAGACCGCCGGGGUCAACUCGGAGGAAGGUGGGGAUGACGUCAAGUCAUCAUGCCCCUUAUGUCCAGGGCUUCACGCAUGCUACAAUGGCUGGUACAGAGAGUGGCGAGCCUGUGAGGGUGAGCGAAUCUCGGAAAGCCGGUCUCAGUUCGGAUUGGGGUCUGCAACUCGACCUCAUGAAGUCGGAGUCGCUAGUAAUCGCAGAUCAGCAACGCUGCGGUGAAUACGUUCCCGGGGGC